CCUACGAGAGGCUGCAGUGGGGAAUAUUGCGCAAUGUGCGAAAGCCUGACGCAGCGACGCCGCGUGAGGGAUGAAGGUCUUCGGAUCGUAAACCUCUGUCAGCAGGGAAGAACGGUCACUGUGCUAAUCAGCAGUGAAUUGACGGUACCUGCAAAGGAAGCACCGGCUAACUCCGUGCCAGCAGCCGCGGUAAUACGGAGGGUGCGAGCGUUAAUCGGAAUUACUGGGCGUAAAGCGCUCGUAGGCGGCAGGUCAAGUCAAGGGUGAAAUACCCGCGCUUAACGUGGGAACUGCCUUUGAAACUGGCAAACUGGAGUGUGGGAGAGGAUAGUGGAAUUCGAGGUGUAGGAGUGAAAUCCGUAGAUAUCUGGAGGAACAUCAGUGGCGAAGGCGACUAUCUGGCACAUAACUGACGCUGAGGAGCGAAAGCGUGGGUAGCAAACAGGAUUAGAUACCCGGGUAGUC
rnacentral:rRNA from 1 species